CAGCCUAGAAUAGCUUUAGCUGCUGCAUCACACUGUUGACUCAUGUUAAGCUUGUGGUCCACCAAGAUAUAAUAAAUAUUUUGCUAUCUUCCCUCUCUCUCCUUUGUGUAAGCCGUUGUUUGUUUACUCUGUGGUCCCAGAGAAAAAUGGUUUGAUGACACUGGUUUAGGGACUGGUCUAAGGCAGAGCAGAGAGCAGAAUCUACAAAGCAGGUGGUUCUUGCACAUUUUUACUGAGUACCAGCCUUGUGUACCCUUAGGCAAUGUCACUGGAAAUUUACUAGAAAGCCCAGCUUCUCAUUGGGCCUCUGUCUCAAGGAAAGAAGCCAUAAGUCUCAGGCAGCAAGCAAUCACUAAGAGAAAGAACUACAGUAUUAGGGACCUAGAGUUUACUCAGAAAUCUCACCUACAAGUGAUCCAAAGUUUUCUCCAAAGGCUCAAAUCCCCACCCCACCCCCUUUGCCCAAGUAUGAAACACAACACUCCAGGUUCUUGAUAAACAUAACACAGGAUUGCCAGAAUCCUGACAGAUGCCACCUUAUGUUUUUGUUGUCAGAUGCUCCUUUGUAUUCAGAUCAGGUCUCAGCACAACAAUGUAGCACUUGGGAAUGAAGAUGCAGCCCAGGAGCCCAGCACUGGAGGCCAAGAUAGAGAAGAUCUGCACAGCCACCAUGUAUUUCCCCUUUGUGCUCAAGUAGGUGGGCACGAAGGACACCCAAACACUACAGAAGACUAGCAUGCUGAAGGUGAUCAGCUUGGCUUCAUUGAAGGCCCCAGGCAGCUUCCUGGCCAGAAAAGCCACCGUGAAGCAGAUGGCAGCUAGGAAGCCCAUGUAACCGAGGGCAGCAUAAAACAUGGCCACAGACCCUUCGUUGCACUGCAGGGUGAUCUCUGCAGUCUGGGAGUGCUUGUCGGAGUCUGGGAAUGGGGGAGAGAUGCCCAGCCAGAUGGUGCAAAUGACAAUUUGGACACUGGAACAGGAAAUGACAAUGGAGUUGGCCAGACUCUUCCCCAGCCAUCUCCUCACCCUGUUCCCUGGUUUUGUGGCCAGGAAGGCCAGCACCACCAUGAUGGUUUUUGCCAACACAGAGGAGAUGGCAACAGAGAAGAUGAUGAAGAAGGUUGCUUGUCGAAGAAGGCAGGUGAACUUCCUUGGCUGGCCGAUGAAGAGGAAGGAUGAUAAAAAUGAAAGCAAGAGGGAGACAAGGAGCAUAUAGGAGAGGUUCCUGUUGUUGGCUUUGACUAUGGGGGUUUCUUUAUAUUUAACGAAGAUUCCUAACACGAUUCCUGUUGCUAAGGACAAGAAUAGGCAAAUUGAGAGUAUGAUCAUGCCCAAAUGUUCUUCAUAAGACAAGAAAGUAAUAAUUUUGGGGACACACUGAUCUCGUUCCUUAUUCGGAUGCUGAUCUUCUGAACAUUUUGUACAAUGUUCUGCAUCUGAGGAGAAAAAGAAUGGUUUCAACACCAUUUACAUCCAUAACCCUCUGCAUUCUUGUACAUUUUGAAGACAGAUGCUGAUGCCUCGUGUAGGUGAAAAAAUUAAAAUGUGCAAUAGCAAAAGAUAGGCAGAAUUGGCUCAUUUGCUUCUUUAAAUCUUAUACUUGCAUUCUGCCCUUACUCCAAGAUGACAGAGGUGGUGCACAAAGUUUUUCUUACUUUUUAAUCACUGAAAUAACCAUACAAUACUGGACAAAGCUGAGAGACCUCUGGCCACCCCAGAUAUAUACAUCUGGCAUCUUCAUUGUGUGGUUUUCCCCUAUUAUAAAGAUAACCUUUUUAUUGGCUGUUGUAUUGUAAUCAUAUUAACAUAACGUAUGGUUCACUUUCUAUUGUGCUUUCACUGCAUUAAGUAUUUACUUUUUUGGCAAUUUCUCAGUUAUUCAAAAUGAUUUUUAAAACUAUCUUUUUGUUGUUGGUUCUCAGAUUUGGUUCAUUGAAAGCAUGGUACAAAAUACCUGAAUAACUGACUGUGUGCAAUGUAUGCUGAGGCUCUCCCUACUCCCCACUUUGUACCCUAGAGAUUGCUUCCUUCUACUGAGAAAUGAGGUUACAGGGAACCAGGCAGAGGGCCUUCUCGAUAGUGGCCCCCACCCUGUGGAAUGCCCUCCCAACAGAUGUCAAGGAUGCAAACAACUAUCUGGCAUUUUGAAGACAUCGGGGAAGUUUUUAAUGUUUGGUGUUUUAUCGUGUUUGUAAUAUUCUGUUAGGAGCUGAUCAGAGUGACUGGGGAAAGCCAGUCGGAUGGGUGUCAUACAGAUAUAAUAAUACUAAUACUACUGCUACUACUACUACUAAUAAUAAUAAUUCAACUCACUUCCUGGAAGUGGUGAAGGUGAGUAAAAAUAGCAAAGAUAAGAAAGGAUCCACAUUCAAAAAUGUCUUUGGAAUCUUCACAGAAAGUGUCGCUGAGUGAAUCUCUGCUCUGUUUUUAUUCUCUCAAGGAACCCUUGCAGUCACUCACCUUCCUGAGUGGAGAUUGUCCCUUCCGCACACAGAACACACAAACAACAGCAAACUGGCUUUCCUUCCUGAACCCUUUUGGCAUAUCCUGGUCGACAUCUUUCCGUACAUCUCGAGCGAGGCACGGUCUAACCAUAAAGAGAAGGUGCAUCAGAAGGAAACCACUAGGAGUCUUUCUGGCUAUGGAAUUCAUGCAUAGAGGUCAAAAAGGGCACAUCUUGGAUGCACAUUUGUCACCUCCAGACUGGAUUAUUGUAACUCGCUCUACAUGGGGCUGCCCUUGAGACUGACCCAGAAACUCCAGCGGGUGCAGAAUGCUGCGGCGAGACUCCUUACGGGAUCCUCGCUGCGGGAUCACAUUCACCCAGUGCUAUACCAGCUUCACUGGCUCCUGGUGGAGUACAGGAUCAGGUUUAAGGUGCUGGUUUUAACCUUUAAAGCACUAUACGGCCUGGGACCCUUGUACCUACAAGACCGCUUCUCCUGGUAUGUCCCACAGAGGAACUUACGAUCUUCAAACAAAAACAUCUUGGAGGUCCCACACCACAGAGAGGUUAGGCUGGCCUCAACCAGAGCCAGGGCUUUUUUGGCUGUGGCUCCGAUCUGGUGGAACGCUCUGCCACAAGAGACUAGGACCCUGCUGGACUUGACAUCUUUCCGCAGGGCCUGCAAGACAGAGCUGUUCCACCAGGCCUUUGGCCAAGGCACAGUCUGACCCCCUCCUUUGGUAAUUCUUUAGUGAAGUAUUCUCUGAUUUUUCCCAUUCUUUUUGAAACUCUUGUCUAGUGUGAUCUCUAAUUGCCUCUGUUAAUCUAGCCAGUUCAAUAUACUCUAACAGUUUGUCUUGCCAUUCCAUUUUUGUUGGCACAGUUUCUUUUUCCCAUACCUUGUUAAACUGCUUGGGCCACUCAAUGGCCUCUGAGAUAAUAGAGAACUUUACGCCAGUGGGUGCCUCUCUCUCUAGACUCCCAAUCUUCACUCUAACACGAGACUUAUUAGGAAACAUCACCCAGUUCUCAAUAGAAAAGUCAAUGGGCAGCUCUCCAUUCUCAUCCAAACACAGUCCUCCUAUGGAAGUAUUUGAGCACUGGAUUUCUUUUAAAAAAUGGUGGAGCUGGAAUGACAUGGGAAACACCAGCAUUAAGAAAGCAGGAAACCAUGUUGGAUAUCUUGGUCUUGUUACUUUAAGCUCUUAUGAACUGGGGCUGUUGCACAUUUCAGGCAUUCUAUUUUAUUAUUAAAAAGCUAGCCCACCUUUCAUGUUAUAAAAAUAACAAGGUGCCUUGCAGAAUAAGAGCUAUAG